AGUAAGGUUACAAAGCAUUUGUACUUUGUUACUUCUGCCAAAAACACCAUAUAACAGAGCGAGGAGAGCAGAGCUGUGUAUGUGUGUGUGUGUGUGUGAGAGAGAGAGAGAGAGAGAGAGAGAGAGAGAGAGAGAGAGAGAGAGACCACAAAAAGAGAGUAGAUAAGUAUCCUGGUCAGGAAGUCUGGUUGAACACAAAGUAGAAAGUUUAGGGUAAAGUUUGCGGCUGCGUGCUGCCGUGCACAUCAAUCACGUGACCUGCCCUUCCUUUAAAAGCGGCGGCCUGAACAAAGGGGCUGCGUCUCUCGGCGUGAGCUUAGCUCAGCGUGAGUACAGUCCAUGGAGUUUACUAAGAGUUUAUUCGGGUUGAGUGUCAGUGUUUAUAUGGCUAUUUAAGCGGCGUAAUUAACUUUUCUUCUCAGUGGUGACUGAUGGCUUUGGACGACGAGACGGUUCAGUAGCUGGAUGCUGUAAUUUAAAGUAAAAGUACACUAGAUGAGCAAGCUGGAAAUGUCUCGAAAGGUCCAUAUGGGUGCCAAAACCAAAAUGAAACAUGUCAAGUUGAUGUGCUGCCAGAAUUGUAAUGCACAAUAUGACACAAUCAAGCUCUUUAAAGCACAUAUCCGGAAUUACGGUCAUAAACAGGAAGUGUCAAGACUUUUUCAGACAGCAUUGUAUAAAGGACAAGUUUUUUUCCCCAUCUUUGGUGUUCUGGACUACGUGAGAAGCGCUCUUUCAGGAGACCCAGUCAUUGGUUUGGACAUGGUCACAUUGUGUAUUACUCCAGAGAGGAUUGGCGCCUUUUACCUGUGCCAUGUUUGCGAGGAAAGCUUGAAAAAUCAUGAUGUUUUAAAACAUCUGUGUUCUGUUGAUCAUUACUACAAGUACUUGGCGCACAGGAAUCCGGAGUUGCUGCGGUUUGCCUGGUUCACGAAUUCUUUUUCUUAUCUGCAAUGCAGUGCUAAGAAAGAACACCUCACCAACGGCGCUGGUACCCUAAGGGUAAAAACAACCUCAAACUGUAUAGAUAUGGAAGGUUUUACCAAUUUAUCUGUGUUUGAGAAUGUUGUGUGUUUAUAGGUUUUAGAGCUGCCUAAGGUGAUGCUGGAGACAGGCAAAGAAAUGGCCUAUCAUCAAGGUAAUAUGAAGGUUUCUCGUUGUUGGUUUUAUUUCACGAGGCCAAAAAAGCACACUGAACAAACUUUUGUUCCAUUUUUCUGUAGUCAUGAACAUGUUCUCCAAAACGAAGAAAGUGAUAGAACUUGUCCGAGGUAAGAGCUUUUAUUUUCGUCAACUUUGAGUUCGGUGCCUGCCUGUGGACGUUUAUUAUAUUUCUGUUAGUUUUGUUUUUCUGUACUAUGCAGCUAACCGACCUCAGAGGAAAACAAUUCAGGCCUACAUCACUGACCCUGCCAGAACUAACCCUUUACUUGGUGAGAUGCAUUUAAAUAUUUUUCUUUUAAUCUAAUAAAUUUGGAUGAUUUUCUGAUGAGCUUGUCUCU
rnacentral:lncRNA from 1 species